rnacentral:rRNA from 1 species
UACGGAGGGUGCAAGCGUUAAUCGGAAUUACUGGGCGUAAAGCGUGCGUAGGCGGUUCGUUAAGUCUGCUGUGAAAGCCCCGGGCUCAACCUGGGAAUGGCAGUGGAUACUGGCGAGCUAGAGUGUGAUAGAGGAUGGUGGAAUUCCCGGUGUAGCGGUGAAAUGCGUAGAGAUCGGGAGGAACAUCAGUGGCGAAGGCGGCCAUCUGGAUCAACACUGACGCUGAAGCACGAAAGCGUGGGGAGCAAACAGG